rnacentral:tRNA from 1 species
CGGGGUGUGGCGCAGCCCGGUAGCGUACACGUCUGGGGGGCGUGUGGUCGCAGGUUCAAAUCCUGUCACCCCGACAA